rnacentral:rRNA from 1 species
UAAGGGGCGCAGCAGGCGAGAAACCUUUGCAAUGUGCGAAAGCACGACAAGGGUAAUCCGAGUGUCUCCUGCUAAAGGAGUCUUUUGUCAGUUGUAGAAUCACUGGUGAAUAAGGGGUGGGCGAGUUCUGGUGUCAGCCGCCGCGGUAAAACCAGCACCUCGAGUGGUCAGGAGGUUUAUUGGGCCUAAAGCAUCCGUAGCCGGUUGCAUAAGUUUUCGGUUAAAUCUAUGCGCUUAACGUAUAGGCCGCCGAAAAUACUGUGCAGCUAGGGAGUGGGAGAGGUACACGGUACUCGAUAGGAAGGGGUAAAAUCCUUUGAUCUAUUGAUGACCACCUGUGGCGAAGGCGGUGUACCAGAACACGUUCGACGGUGAGGGAUGAAAGCUGGGGGAGCAAACCGGAUUAGAUACCCGGGUAGUCCCAGCUGUAAACGAUGCAGACUCGGUGAUGCAUUGGCUUGUGGCCAAUGCAGUGCCGCAGGGAAGCCGUUAAGUCUGCCGCCUGGGAAGUACGUACGCAAGUAUGAAACUUAAAGGAAUUGGCGGGGGAGCACCACAAGGGGUGAAGCCGCGGUUCAAUUGGAGCA